GACAGAGGGUGCAAACGUUGUUCGGAUUUACUGGGCGUAAAGCGCACGUAGUCGGCUUUGCAAGUCGGUUGUGAAAUCCCCGGGCUCAACCUGGGAACUGCAUCCGAGACUGCAUUGCUAGAGUAUGGGAGAGGAAAGCGGAAUUUCUGGUGUAGCAGUGAAAUGCGUAGAUAUCAGAAGGAACAUCAGUGGCGAAGGCGGCUUUCUGGACCAAUACUGACGAUCAGGUGCGAAAGCGUGGGGAGCAAACAGG
rnacentral:rRNA from 1 species